rnacentral:lncRNA from 1 species
CCAGGCCUCACCCCCAUUUAGACCAAUACAGCCAGCAGGUAGGGAGCUAUAAAGGAGUCAGGAGUAUUGAUUGCGCACCUUAUCCAAGCCAGGCUCCUUAAUCUCACAGCUGGCCCAGCCUCUAGCUGCUGACUCAGUCUCCGGCACAAUCCUCCACACCUGUAUCAGCCCUGAGAAGUUUCGGAAACUCCAGCACCAGCUCUGGCGAAAAGAUCUCCAUGGUCCAAGGGCAGGGCCAGUGUUUUCCAACGCACCUUCUCAUUUGUUUCUCACACCCUCAGCUAUUGCCCCCAUUGACAAACAAGGAAACAACCUGCCACUCGUUCAACAGGUCUUAGGAGCACAGUGAGAGGCUGUGUGUGGAGAAUAAAAACAGGUGCUCUCCCGCUGGGAAAGAGCUGGGGGGGGGCAAGGACAGUUGACUUCAACGUCCUCACUUACCAACUCUGUGUCCUGGGCGACCUCCUGGACCUCUCUGAGGUCAUUUCCUCUCUGGCAGGACAGGCCUGAUAGUCACACCGCAGCGGGCCAUGGUCAGGAUUCAGUGAGCUCACCAGGCCUGGCUCUGGCUGGAGCUCCAGAGCAGUGGCUUCUGUGACAAAGAACAAAGCCCCCGCGCAGCAGGGCGUUGGUAAUUAAAUCCUUUGUGCGCGAGCCGUCGCACCCCGCC